ACCUGUCCACGGUAGGGGCAAAGCACUGUCACGUAUUCAGGAGGAUAUCCGUUCUUCAUCAAGUGCACGGCGACGUCCAAGAUCAGGAAAAUUUCCUUUUGAUUGUACAAGCUUUUUGAUCCUUCUAUCUGUUUUUCCUGCUCAGUGUGUUUCACGAAAUACAGACUACCUCCAAUGCAAUCAGGUGGUUUAUUAUUGCAGGUUUUCU
rnacentral:lncRNA from 1 species